rnacentral:rRNA from 1 species
AAUAGAUACCCCGGUAGUCCACGCCGUAAACGGUGGGUACUAGGUGUGGGUUUCCUUCCUUGGGAUCCGUGCCGUAGCUAACGCAUUAAGUACCCCGCCUGGGGAGUACGGCCGCAAGGCUAAAACUCAAAAGGAAUUGACGGGGGCCCGCACAAGCGGCGGAGCAUGUGGAUUAAUUCGAUGCAACGCGAAGAACCUUACCUGGGUUUGACAUGCACAGGACGCCGGCAGAGAUGUCGGUUCCCUUGUGGCCUGUGUGCAGGUGGUGCAUGGCUGUCGUCAGCUCGUGUCGUGAGAUGUUGGGUUAAGUCCCGCAACGAGCGCAACCCUUGUCCUAUGUUGCCAGCGGGUUAUGCCGGGGACUCGUAGGAGACUGCCGGGGUCAACUCGGAGGAAGGUGGGGAUGACGUCAAGUCAUCAUGCCCCUUAUGUCCAGGGCUUCACACAUGCUACAAUGGCCGGUACAAAGGGCUGCGAUGCCGUGAGGUGGAGCGAAUCCUUGGUAAAGCCGGUCUCAGUUCGGAUCGGGGUCUGCAACUCGACCCCG